AUGGCUACUCUUAAGGAGGCAGAACGUUGCAUCAAAUAUCUUAACUGUUCAGUGCUAGAAGUUCGUAUCAUUAUUGUUGAGAAGGCAAGGUCGAACCCCAACACCGAGAAGGUAUCUUGGCACCAAAUCAUCGCGAGAAGAAGGGUAUGUGUUGGUGUGCACGAUAUAAAGCAGCCUUGUUCAGAAGUGCUUUAUCAAGUUCCUGUAAAAAAGCUUUCUAGAUAUAACAUUAUGUUUACAGUUUCGCUCGGCUUCCCUAAUCCCAAAGGCAGCCCUAAUGUAACUUUUGAGAUCGAACAUAUAAAGGACGCUACGCUACCCGCCGUUCUGGAGGCAUUGCGAGCGCUCUGUGUUUUUGACCGCCCGAUCGAUUACCUACAGUGA
rnacentral:rRNA from 1 species